rnacentral:rRNA from 1 species
CAGCCGCCACGGUAAUACGAGGGGUGCAAGCGUUAUUCGGAUUGAUUGGGUGUAAAGGGUGUGCAGACGGCUUAUUAAGUCACUUGUUAAAUUCUUCGGCCUAACUGAAGGUCUGCAAGUGAUACUGAUGAGCUAGAGGGUGGAAGAGAGAAGUGGAAUUCUCGGAGUAGCGGUAAAAUGCGUAGAUCUCGAGAGGAACACCAAUGGCGAAGGCAGCUUCUUGGUCCACUCCUGACGUUCAUACACGAAAGCGUGGGGAGCAAACAGGAUUAGAUACCCCCGUAGUCCCUGUCUCUUAUAC